UUGAGCCGUGUGCAGUGAAAGUUGCAAGCACGGUUCUUAGGGGAGUUGGGGGCAGCAAUGCCCCCCGCUUACCCGAC
rfam:Bacteroidetes bacterium RIFCSPLOWO2_12_FTLL_35_15 rifcsplowo2_12_scaffold_30957, whole genome shotgun sequence.